GACCGAAUGGCGUAGUGGUUAGUGACCCUGACUACUAAGCCGAAGGUCCCGGGUUCGAUUCCCGGCUGGGGCA
rnacentral:tRNA from 1 species